CAUCCUCGUUCCCAGGGCUUCUCGGCUGCCUGCGUUGCCGUAAGCCCUGGGACAAGCCAAACCGGAACACCACAAAUUCUGGUGUUUUCCGGAAGUAAACGCGUUCUGCUGCAAGCUAAAAAUGCUGACUAUGCACUAAUUCUUACUGAGGAGUGGAGACGUGUUGGUGAGCAGAAAUUAUUGGAUUUUUCUUUUGUUUCGAUGUAUUUUCCACCAUCAAGAGAAUAUGUGCAGACCACCUAAUGGAAUUAUACAUAUUGGGGUUUUAUAUUUCGUUAUAUCGUUAAUAUUCGUCAAAAUGCAACCAUAUUUCGGUUUCGUAUUACAUGUAUCAAUUUUCAUGUAUAAUGUAAACAUGAUCGAGUCGAAAUGUGCUCGAAGUGGCCGCUGUGAUUCGAAACAUCAUGGGUUGAACCCAUUGGGUUCUUGUACAGAUGACCUGUUUCAACACGCACUUGUAAAGUCACUUCAAAGACCGGACAAAGCCGGACUGGAAAUUAAAGAGAAGUAAUUCGAAGCUUUAUCGUCCAUCGUAUGUUGUAUAUUAAAAGGAACAAGAACGACAUGUGACAUGUGAGUCUGUUUACUGGGUUACAACAACGACAAUAACAAUGAAUCACCUAACAUUUCAAGAAAAUAUAAAUUAUAGAUAGAUGUCAUGUAUGACGCCAUGAGUUUUGGAUUUGAAUUGCUAGAAUUAAAUCUAUGUUAUGUAUACAAAAUCAUGCGUGCGUAAAUUUGAGCAAAAAAGCACAAGGUGUUUGUUUGGCCAUAUGCCCAUCAUGUAGUAUGAAUAUUGAACACCGUUUUACUGUAUAUAGCACGUUUAAAACGUUAUUUCCAUGCAGGAUAAUCCUGAAUCCUUCACCGAUUACAUGCCAUGGCAAAUGAAGAAAAAUAAUUAUGUAAAAUAAUUAACCUAAUAUGUCUUUGGCCAUGAAUGCAACUCACUAUGCUGCUUCAUGAUACAUCUGACAGUCAAAAACUAUGUGCAUGACUGUAUGGCUCAAUGUAUGUUAAUUGUUUCAGGGAAAUUUUUGUUUUCAGAUUAAAGUAUAACAAUAUUUUCUGCAUUCCAAUAUAUUUUAAUCUACAUGCAAGUGCACCUUCUGUUUCAGAUAGGGGCCAAAUCAUUUGAGGCCGAAUGGGAUAGCCAAUGACUGGAGGGUAAUGUUAGCAAAUUUGACUCCCAUACAUAAUGUCAAGUUAUCACUGGUCAAUUUUUAAAUUUCUUACAAUUUCACAUCGGGGAGUUCAUUGCCCCCUCAUUAUCCAGAAGUGUGACUAAGUGUUUUCUAAUAUCUAUCCAGGGGUCCAAUCUAAAUCUCCACCACAACAGGAUGUAUACCUGAGUGAUGGUAAGGGAGGUGGGGUUAACAUUCUGAUUUAUCAAUAGAUUACUACACAUUUCCACAUUAAAAAUAUGAAACGUUUUCCAGUUCAAUAGACUGUAUCUAUAGCAGGAGGCUUAAACCAGAAUUUUAGAAUACAAAGCAACUUUUAUGUCAUUUUUGUAAUGGUUUAAAAUCAAUUUUUAUACAGACAUGGUAGGGUGUCUCCUGGCUAGAAGCCUGCAUAUACAUAUACAAAUUUUCAGUUUUGUCAAUAAUAAUAGUUUAUUUUAUAAUUUCAAUUCUUACAAGAUUUGCAAUAAGUCAACAGAAUAAGCAUUCUAUUCUGAACUGUUGACAGGAAACAGUGUAAAUUCAUGAUCUCAUCCAAUAUGACACAAGAAUUCGAGACCCCCACCUCGGGCAUACCAGGGGCAUUCACUUAAUUUGGUGUGUGAAAUUCAGUGAAGUCCCCUGCAGCCAGGACAAAAUGGCAAGGUAAAUUUCUUCGGUCCUAUCAUCCUCAGGUAUUCAAUUAGAAUUUUUACAUGAAAUUUCCCAAACCAUUCCUUUACUGUUCUGUAAAAGCCUUUCCUAGCCGACUGCUUUAUUUCAGCAUUUAUAUAAAAGACUACGCCUUUCCUAGCCAAAUGCUUUAUUUCAGCAUUUAUAUAGCCAACUGCUUUAUUUCAACAUUUAUAUAAAAGACUAAGUGACCCCCCCCCCAUGACCUCACUCAUUCCCAACUUGGACACUGAAAGUAAGUGUCUUCCCUGUUUGCCAAGAAAUGAUAAACCAGUGAAUUAAGAGGCGAUUGUCCUUGCAUUCCCCUCUGGUAUGCCAAAGGUGCAAGGAUUCAAAUGACUGGUGAAAUUGAAUAUGCUUAUAAGCUUAUUCACUGUAUUUAAUUAAAAGCUAUUAAAAUUACUCACUAAUACUACAACUGAGGAAAAUUCAGAAAUAGUAAAAUACAUCCAUAAUAUUCCAUAUGCUAUAUUUAUAAAUUCCAAUUGGCCAUUUUAACAUAGGGCCAUUUUAAUAUAGGCGGGUAUUAAAUAGGCCAAGUGACCAAUACCAAAAGCAUAAUAAUUAAUAAAACACAAUACAUUACACCAUUAAAACUUUACUAUCGUAACUAUAUAUUUUUAAACAUUUUAUAUUUACAGUGUGCUUAAAAUUUUACAAUUAUACUUGAGCACAAUGUUUUAAUAAUAGACAACUUUAUAACAAGAAAAUGUUAAAAUGAAGAAACUUUUUAAUGGCUUCAUAAUUGACGUUUCUUCGAUAUUGUUGCUUACUUCUACUUUAUAAUUGUCCAUUCUGUUAUUUUCUUUCUUUCUGUUUGCAAAUUAUCUCCAUUAAUCCAUAGAAAACAAGCAGUUUACGUUUGUAUUUCUUCGUAUUUCGAACGCGCACUCCUUGAAGGCAGCCAUAUUGCAAAUUGCAAAUAUAAACAUCCACUUGACGAAUAAACUUUUCAUAUUUCACUCUAUUUCCAACGACCAAUCAAAUCACAUCUGCUUCGGCUUGUCCCAGGGCUUACGGCAACGCAGGCAGCCGAGAAGCCCUGGGAACGAGGAUGGUGGGCGGCGCAUGUGACUGAC